UUAUUCAAUAUACAUAAUUUUCCUUAUUCGGUACACUUUGAGAGAACAUCCUGCUUCUGCCCUCGCUCAAUCAGUAACGUCAGUAUUUGCGUGUAUCAUCCAGAAUUUUUUCCCAAGUACCAAUUUUUAUAAUGAAAUACAUCCUUAACCAAUUUUUACGAAUGACUUCACAGUGAAAGAAUGACAUCGCGUAAUAAAAAUCGAACUCGCAAAAAUUAUAAUUUGCGUAAUUACUGGACGUAUUUACUUGCCGUGAAGCUGGAAUUCGUUUCAGUUUGAAGGAUGGAGCAGCCGUUGUGCUGUAAAACUGAGACUUCGAACUUAUGACUCAUGAGAUACUACUGCCAUCUAUCAAUUUUUAUGGGAACAACUUAGACUGUUGAAAUUAUGGAAUGAGUGCACCAGUUACUAACGCAUCUAACAUCUGUAUUAUAUUAUAAUAUGAAUGUCACACAAUAAUAAUAGAGAAGUAAUGAAAUGUUUAGCAAUUAUAAAAUUUGGUGAGCCACAAAAAAACAGCAUUGAAAUCAUUUAUUUGGUCGGCGUACAAAGAUUUUGUUUGCAAUUAAAAAAAUCAGGCAGCAAUCCUUGUUGGAACGAACAGCAGAAGAUUUUUAUUAUUUAUGUAUAGUCUUAGUAUAAUUAAUGGCUAUAGUGUCUAAUGUAUAGUCUACAUGCUGACGGUCAUUAUUAUUAUUCACAUAAAUAGCUGUUUCUUUGUAUAUUAUUUAUAUUUAUUUUUGAUAAAUCAUUGUGAAUAAAAUGAAGUUGAUAAUGUAGUUUUUUUAUUGUUAUCAAUAAAAAAUGUAUACCCGAAUAA